GUGUUCACUUAGUCAGCACAUAUACUGAAAUUGGAAAGAUACAGAGAAGACUAGGAUGGCUACUGAGCAAGGAUCAUAAAAUUCCACCAUUCUUUCUCUUCAUCUUA